rnacentral:ribozyme from 2 species
GCUGUAAUGCGGCCAAGGACGGUCACAAGCCCGUGAAAACGCAGAGUGCAGC